UGGGGAAUAUUGCACAAUGGGCGCAAGCCUGAUGCAGCAACGCCGCGUGAGGGAUGACGGCCUUCGGGUUGUAAACCUCUUUUAGCAGGGAAGAAGCGAAAGUGACGGUACCUGCAGAAAAAGCGCCGGCUAACUACGUGCCAGCAGCCGCGGUAAUACGUAGGGCGCAAGCGUUAUCCGGAAUUAUUGGGCGUAAAGAGCUCGUAGGCGGUUUGUCGCGUCUGCUGUGAAAAUCCCGAGGCUCAACCUCGGGUCUGCAGUGGGUACGGGCAGACUAGAGUGCGGUAGGGGAGAUUGGAAUUCCUGGUGUAGCGGUGGAAUGCGCAGAUAUCAGGAGGAACACCGAUGGCGAAGGCAGAUCUCUGGGCCGUAACUGACGCUGAGGAGCGAAAGGGUGGGGAGCAAACAGGCUUAGAUACCCUGGUAGUCCACCCCGUAAACGUUGGGAACUAGUUGUGGGGUCCAUUCCACGGAUUCCGUGACGCAGCUAACGCAUUAAGUUCACCGCCUGGGGAGUACGGCCGCAAGGCUAAAAACUCAAAA
rnacentral:rRNA from 1 species